UAAACACAUAUGGGCGUGCGUAUGAUCUCGUAAAUGAUGCAGAAUAUUUUCAGGUCGUAAAUAUAGACACAGGUGAAAGUACAAAACAUGUAUUAGUCAAAGCACAGAAAGUUUACGACAGACAUACGCGUAUACAUGUAUCAAUGCAUGCCCGAUAUACGAGAACGCCAAAGUUACAACUUCAAAGUAUAAACACACGUACAACUAUUGCAAUGAAAUUGUACUGUUACGUCCGGCUCGUCUACGUGACGACGUUGUGGAACGUUCACGACUUUUAACCGGUUCACGUUGAUUAUUAUAACGUUGGGUCAUUACUAUUUGUCAGGAAAGAUAAAAAUACAAACACUCUUGGGACGCCAGUUAUAUUUAAACUUCCUGUCUGCGAGGUCUUCUCGAGCGUAUCAAAGACGGUACGAGAGUUUGAAAAUUCGAAUGGAUGGACGAGGAUGAACUUGGGCAGAAGAGAAGCUACCCUCGCAUAAGGAGAAGGGGCGAAAAAAAUAAAAUUCGUUGUGGUUAUAUGCGUAGAGGAACUUUGUGUACAAUGUGUGAGCUACUUUCGCAGUUGGUUGACGUUCAAACUCGUCUCGCAAUCUUCGCUUCUCGUUUCGCUCCUUAACGCCUCGAGAACUUUAGCAAAUUUGACGGAGCCCUUCGGCAAAAGGCAGAAUAGUAACCAGCGAGUAUACGAGUUUGCGAAAGCGGCUGAUUCGUGGCAAAUUCAUCCUUUGCCCUGCCCUCAAAUAGCCCACAAUAUCUUCAUCCACGAUGGGCCUUCAUUCAAUAGGUUUUUACGGAGCCAUCGUUUCAACCUCACUUUUCUCCUUCACCGUUCCUGGCCCAAUUUCUGUGAAUGCAUAUGAAAGCUGAUGAAGAAAACUUGGCCGAUAGAGGACCGAUGAAUUUUCACUGAGUUUUGGCUGCUCGAGAACAUCAGAAACUCAGAACUGCCUCCUGCGCAGUGGUUGACGCGCGAUACAGUCCGCGUCAGAAACUCCUGAAUCCUGAACUUGAGAGAUCGUGGAAAAUAACUAGUCGGAGCUUCGCUCUCCAUGCAAAGUGGCAGACUAAUGAGUUUUUAUACAAUUCUUGAUGUGAAAAAUGCAGCAGUUCGUCGAAAAUUUCAUCGCUCGACAAUGACCCCGAAUGGAUGGGAGAGUGGAACGGUUUGAGAGGAUAAAGUUGCAAGUGCUAAAAAAUGAGAGAUCUACACAACACUAAAGUGGGAAGCGAUAUUCGAGGCGAGAGGAUGUGGAUAUGAUUGUGGCUGCAGGUAAUAUUGCUGAUAGGCGGGAUCAUUUCGCUCAGUGCGGUUUUAAUUCAGAAACGAAAGGGAGACGACGCGAGCGAGGGAGAAAGAGAAUAAGGACGAUAGCAGAACCACGAACAGCGCAAUCACGAGUUGUAGCUCUGACGAGACACGUAAUGGGGGAUGAAGAGAGCAGAGGGUUGCAUACAUGCGAGCGAACAUUCAGGCAUUCCCAAUGAUUCGGGCAACGCUUCUCUCUAUCUCCCAGUCCCUGUUGCGAUCAUCCCUAUGUGUAACGUAACUGUUGAUGAAACUUGGAGUGCUGUUUGGACUUUCAUUAUUAAAAGAGAAAGAAAUAGAUACAAGAAUAGCGAGAAUAAGGGAAUUUGGACCAUCUUCUCCCCUGCUUUUCCAUUUCUCUUUCUCUCUCGCUCACUCACUGGUCUCAUCUUAUUACUCGUAAAGCGAGGGGCGUGGAUCAUAACGUGAAGGCUACUCGGGCUGAGAGGCGACAUGAAAUGUCAAAGGGGAGAUAGAACGGCUGCCAUGUUAUAAUGCCAGUUGUAACGUUCCGUAAUGGGGAACGUGGUGGACGCUCAUGAAACAAAGUGGACGAGCGUCAUAACCCUGCAGACUGUUCAACACAGAAGAUACUCGCAAGCGUACACAAUAUUAUGCGCGCUUGUGAACAUUGCGAAAUCAUCGGCCGUAUCGCCCUCUUGACCCAUAGGAUCGACCGGUACUCGUCCAGACACCCAACCAACACUUCCUCCGCACUUAUGUUCAUGCACAUUUGGGGCACCCACGGAUCAUUAAGCUGGAACACGAACUAUUUGUCUCCUCACUCGGAGAACCAUGGAAAAAACUGCUUCUGAAAAAUCAAUUCCCGAAGAGAUGAGCGCAGUCCAAAUUUUAUGGAAAUUUCAUUUGGAAUAGUCGAAAUCGAAUUUCAAUGAAAUAUUACGAUUUUUUCACUCCUCGAUACUCGCAGUACAUUAAUCGUGAAACUUUAUGAGUACCACGUCGCAGCGAAAA